GAGGGUAUAGCUCAGUGGUAGAGCACAUGCUUAGCAUGCACGAGGUCCUGGGUUCAAUCCCCAAUACCUCA
rnacentral:tRNA from 1 species